rnacentral:misc_RNA from 1 species
CAACGGCGACGCUCGCGAUCCCGCUGGAGGGGCUCACACUCACAGCGCCGCAGCCGGAGAUGCUCUCGCAGAAGAACGUC